rnacentral:lncRNA from 1 species
UUCAGUUGCUAACCUUUGACUGGUUUUGAAGAACCAGCUGAGUAUGUGGGAUGUGGAUACACACAGGUGGUCCUGGACAAAUCCCCAGCAUAUACCAAGAGAUAACUCUACUUGGGGAUCUGAAGACUGUGGACUCACUGUUUUCAGGAAUAUGUACUUAAAGCAGGUGAGGGGAAAAAUGUUAUCUUGUUUAAUUUGCGGUUCUGUUCUCAGAGUAAAUACUUGAGGCUAUGAAGACUGAAUUCACUGUUUUCAGAAAGAUGUACUUAGAGCAAGUGACGAAAUCUGAAUUAUAUUAAUGGUCAAAAGCAGCCCCAAAUUCAGAGUGUGUUUAGAAACAAGUAUAGUAAUGUCAAAUACAAAACUCAACACCUUAAGUGAGUCAUUACAAAGAAAUAAUUUAGCAAUUUACUUGUGACCUAGUGGGCGUCAUCAUUAUUAUUAUUACAGGCUUGGCAAAUUUUGGCUUUUCAAUUAUUCUAGAACUUAGUUAAUAUCUGUAUAGAUGCCUCUUGUGGCUUUAAAAUGUUGACAGCUGAUUAAACUUAUCUUUUCUGAGUAAUCAGUCUGAAAGAUUCUUUUUUAUUUAAUCUAGAAGUUUUAUUAAUUGAUUUUUUAAAAUAGGCUGACAGAUGCUAUUAUAUAGCCACAGGAAUAGCUAACAUUUUACAAAUUGACAAUAGUAAAUGUUGAUGAGAAUACAGAGCAACUGGAACUCUGAUACAUUACUGGAAGAAGUAUAAAUUAGCACAAUUAUUUGGAAUAGUGGCAUUACAAAUUAGAGCUAAUCAUCUGCCUAUUUCAUGGCUCACAACUAAUUAGUUCAUGUGAACACCAAAAAAAUACAAAAAUCUUGAUAACAGCGUUAGUCAUAAUAACUCUAACUGGAAACAAUCCAAGUGACCAAUAACAACAACAACAACAAAUAGGUAAACAAAUUGUGUGUGCUCAUUAAAUGAAAUAUCACACAACAAUAAAGAAUAGACUACUGAUACAUACCACCACACAGAUGACUCUCCCAGAGUAAUGAUGAACAAAAGAAAUCAGAGACAAAAUAGUAUAUACUAUAUGACUCCAUAUGAAGUUCAAGCAGAUACAAAACUAACCCAUGGUGUUAGAAAUCAAAGUAGUAAUUACUUUUGGAGAGGUUUUGACUGGAGAGGGACAUGGGGAA